rnacentral:rRNA from 1 species
AUUGAACGCUUGCGGCAGGCCUAACACAUGCAAGUCGAGCGAGCGGCGGACGGGUGAGUAAUGUCUGGGAAACUGCCUGAUGGAGUGGGAUAACUACUGGAAACGGUAGCUAAUCCCGCAUACCAUCAGAUGUGCCCAGAUGGGGUUAGCUAGUAGGUGGGGUAACGGCUCACCUAGCCGACGGUCCCUAGCUGGUCUGAGAGGAUGACCAGCCACACUGUAACGUAGACACGGUCCAGACUCCUACGGGGGGCAGCAGUGGGGAAUAUUGCACACUGGGCGCGAGCCUGAUGCAGCCAUGCCGCGGGUGUGAAGAAGGCCUUCGGGUUGUAAAGCACUUUCGGCGGGGAGGCGUUAGCCGCCGAGGAAGAACGGGCUAACGCGGUGCCAGCAGCCGCGGUAAUAC